ensembl:misc_RNA 7SK 7SK RNA
ACGAGGGCGAUCUGGUUUUGACGUCUGUCACCUCGUUGAUCACCAGGGUUGAUCUGGCUGAUCUGGCUGGCUAGGUGGGUGUCCCCUUUCCUUUCUCACCUCUCCCUGCCUAUCCCUCCCAAAGCUGCAUGCUCGGUUGAAGAGGACAACCAUCCCCAAUAGAGGAGGACCGGUCCUCGGUCAAGGGCAUGCAAGCAGUUGUGCUUCCCUGCUAGAACCUCCAACAAGCUCUCAGAAUAGACACCUUGUAGACAGUGAUGUAGGGGCCGUGGAGUGGGUGAGUCCAUGGGAGGAUUUCUGCUC